rnacentral:rRNA from 1 species
GCCUCUUGAUUAAACCAUAAGAGGUCCAGCCUGCCCAGUGACAUUGUUCAACGGCCGCGGUAUCCUAACCGUGCGAAGGUAGCGUAAUCACUUGUCCUUUAAAUGAAGACUAGUAUGAAUGGCCCCACGAAAGCUAUACUGUCUCCUUUUUCUAAUCAGUUAAACUAAUCUCCCCGUGAAGAAGCGGGGAUAAACAUAUAAGACGAGAAGACCCUAUGGAGCUUCAAACAACUGAAACACUUGUAUAUCCUCCCCUCACCUGCCAACAUUUAACCUCACAUUUUUGUUUCUAGUUUUAGGUUGGGGUGACCACGGAGAAAAAACUAACCUCCACGACGAAAGAGACAUCUCUAAACAAAAAGCUACAUCUUUAUGUAUUAACACAUUAACCUUUAUUGACCCAAUAAAUUGAUCAACGAACCAAG